rnacentral:rRNA from 1 species
CCUACGGGAGGCAGCAGUCGAGAAUCAUUCACAAUGGGGGAAACCCUGAUGGUGCGACGCCGCGUGGGGGAAUGAAGGUCUUCGGAUUGUAAACCCCUGUCAUGUGGGAGCAAAUCAAAAAGAUAGUACCACAAGAGGAAGAGACGGCUAACUCUGUGCCAGCAGCCGCGGUAAUACAGAGGUCUCAAGUGUUGUCCGGAAUUACUGGGCGUAAAGGGUGCGUAGGGUGUUUCGUAAGUCGUGUGUGAAAGGCGCGGGCUCAACCCGCGGACGGCACAUGAUACUGCGAGACUAGAGUAAUGGAGGGGGAAGCGGAAUUCGGGGUGUAGCAGUGAAAUGCGUAGAUAUCGCGAAGAACACUCAUGGCGAAGGCAGGUUCCUGGACAUUAACUGACGCUGAGGCACGAAGGCCAGGGGAGCGAAAGGGAUUAGAUACCCGGGUAGUC